rnacentral:rRNA from 1 species
UACGAAGGGGGCUAGCGUUGCUCGGAAUCACUGGGCGUAAAGCGCACGUAGGCGGAUUGUUAAGUCAGGGGUGAAAUCCCGGAGCUCAACUCCGGAACUGCCUUUGAUACUGGCGAUCUUGAGUCCGGGAGAGGUGAGUGGAAUUCCGAGUGUAGAGGUGAAAUUCGUAGAUAUUCGGAAGAACACCAGUGGCGAAGGCGGCUCACUGGCC